rnacentral:rRNA from 1 species
UAGCACAGAGAGCUUGCUCUCGGGUGACGAGCGGCGGACGGGUGAGUAAUGUCUGGGAAACUGCCUGAUGGAGGGGGAUAACUACUGGAAACGGUAGCUAAUACCGCAUAACGUCGCAAGACCAAAGUGGGGGACCUUCGGGCCUCAUGCCAUCAGAUGUGCCCAGAUGGGAUUAGCUAGUAGGUGGGGUAACGGCUCACCUAGGCGACGAUCCCUAGCUGGUCUGAGAGGAUGACCAGCCACACUGGAACUGAGACACGGUCCAGACUCCUACGGGAGGCAGCAGUGGGGAAUAUUGCACAAUGGGCGCAAGCCUGAUGCAGCCAUGCCGCGUGUGUGAAGAAGGCCUUCGGGUUGUAAAGCACUUUCAGCGGGGAGGAAGGCGAUAAGGUUAAUAACCUUGUCGAUUGACGUUACCCGCAGAAGAAGCACCGGCUAACUCCGUGCCAGCAGCCGCGGUAAUACGGAGGGUGCAAGCGUUAAUCGGAAUUACUGGGCGUAAAGCGCACGCAGGCGGUCUGUC